rnacentral:ncRNA from 1 species
GAAAGCCGAGUGCGUAGAAAUGCGCCUGCUCGGUUUGGGAAGGGGGCAACGGAAAAGGUCCAAGAGGAACCUCGCCGGUGCCCUACUUCAU